rnacentral:rRNA from 1 species
GAUGAACGCUAGCUACAGGCUUAACACAUGCAAGUCGAGGGGCAGCGGGAUUGAAGCUUGCUUCAAUUGCCGGCGACCGGCGCACGGGUGAGUAACGCGUAUCCAACCUUCCGUACACUCAGGGAUAGCCUUUCGAAAGAAAGAUUAAUACCUGAUGGUAUGAUGAGAUUGCAUGAUAUCAUCAUUAAAGAUUUAUCGGUGUACGAUGGGGAUGCGUUCCAUUAGGUAGUAGGCGGGGUAACGGCCCACCUAGCCAACGAUGGAUAGGGGUUCUGAGAGGAAGGUCCCCCACAUUGGAACUGAGACACGGUCCAAACUCCUACGGGAGGCAGCAGUGAGGAAUAUUGGUCAAUGGACGAGAGUCUGAACCAGCCAAGUAGCGUGAAGGAUGAAGGUCCUACGGAUUGUAAACUUCUUUUAUAAGGGAAUAAACCCUCCCACGUGUGGGAGCUUGUAUGUACCUUAUGAAUAAGCAUCGGCUAACUCCGUG